rnacentral:piRNA from 1 species
AUCAAAAGGCUUAGAAGGGAUCUGUAGUU